UUAAGUUCAGCGGGUAGUCCUACCUGAUUUGAGGUCAAACAAGUCAAUGUUAGUUUGUCCGUGAAAACAGACGGUUAGAGAGCAGACACCCCAACGGCUCCUUGAAAUGAAAGCAGACAGAGCAAGCUUAGUUGCAGCUAUCCCAACCAAAGAGCCUUGUCAAACCACCAAGGCGUAGAUAAUUAUCACACCAAGGCUUA
rnacentral:misc_RNA from 1 species